UACAGAGGUCUCAAGCGUUGUUCGGAUUCAUUGGGCGUAAAGGGUGCGUAGGCGGCGCGGUAAGUCGGGUGUGAAAUUUCGAGGCUUAACUUCGAAACUGCAUUCGAUACUGCCGUGCUUGAGGACUGGAGAGGGACUGAGUAACUUGUGGUAGCGGUGAAAUGCGUAGAUAUCGUAAGGAAGACCAGUGGCGAAGGCGGGUCUCUGGACAGUUCCUGACGCUGAGGCACGAAGGUCAGGGGAGCAAACGGG
rnacentral:rRNA from 1 species